ACGUCCGCCAUUUUUCUUCAAAACUUUCAACAUUAUAAUAUAUGUAAUAAUAGUUGUGUGUUGGCUUCUAUUAAAAAAAGUAUUACAAUUGGAUUAAAUUGUAAUCGAAUAAUUCAAGAACGCGAAAUUGAAUUUCAAAAUAAUAAAAAUAUUAUUUUGGGUUUCACUAUUUAAAAAUUAUGAUAAAUAUGGAUUUUAAAAAGUUAUAUCAUAAUAUAUAAAGUUAGAAAAUGUAAGAUUGAUUAUUUUCGCAUGUCAUCAAUACAACUGAAGGACUUGUUACAAAUGGUUAUUACAAAUGGAUAACAACAAAUUGUUCGUUUUAUUAUAAACAUUUAUCGAUUUAUAACAAAAUUGAGAAAAAACCGAGCUGCUCUUAAUAACGUGGUGAAUUUCUGGCGCGGGCACAUAUCUUAAACUUGAUAUCAGUUUGCAUGGUCGAGGACUGAAGCUGUGCUCAGAAUCGCAACGUGACUUACGCCUUAUGCCGAGCGCGCGAC
rnacentral:lncRNA from 1 species